UACGUAGGGCGCAAGCGUUAUCCGGAAUUAUUGGGCGUAAAGAGCUCGUAGGCGGUUUGUCGCGUCUGCCGUGAAAGUCCGGGGCUCAACUCCGGAUCUGCGGUGGGUACGGGCAGACUAGAGUGAUGUAGGGGAGACUGGAAUUCCUGGUGUAGCGGUGAAAUGCGCAGAUAUCAGGAGGAACACCGGUGGCGAAGGCGGGUCUCUGGGCCGAUACUGACGCUGAGAAGCGAAAGCAUGGGGAGCGAACAGG
rnacentral:rRNA from 1 species